GUGGCUGUAGCUCAGCUGGUUAGAGCAUCAGUUUGUGGAACUGAGGGUCGCGGGUUCGAGUCCCGUCAGCCACC
rnacentral:tRNA from 1 species